rnacentral:rRNA from 1 species
UACGUAGGGUGCGAGCGUUAAUCGGAAUUACUGGGCGUAAAGCGUGCGCAGGCGUUUCGCUGUGUCCUGUGUGAAAGCCCCGGGCUUAACCUGGGAAUGGCAUGGGAAACUGGCGGGCUGGAGUGUGGCAGAGGGGGGUGGAAUUCCGCGUGUAGCAGUGAAAUGCGUAGAGAUGCGGAGGAACACCGAUGGCGAAGGCAGCCCCCUGGGCUAACACUGACGCUCAGGCACGAAAGCGUGGGGAGCAAACAGG